UAUUCCUGAUCUCCAUGUUAGAGAUUACAUGUCCUUCGAAAUUAGGUAAAGAAAUCCAUCUCAAAAGUAGAUUUUUACGAGGGGACUCACUUCUACAUGGACUCAUAGAAACUGUCCUAAAAGAAAAUAUGUAAUGACACUUUUUACCCUACUAAAACAAGUAAUUCUAUAAGUAUUCUAACCACUUCUCUAAACAUCUCCUAAAAUCCUAAAAAUAUAAAAAUUCUAGAAUCCUAGAAAAACUUAAGAACCCUAAAAAAAAUAACCCUAGAAAAUUCCAAAUAUACAUCCUUAUAAUUCAAUAAGAAAAAUUCAAAAAUAAGAGGCAGCUUGUCUUGCAUCAAAUCUCUACAUUACUCAAGUGAGUUUGUACAGUACUCACUCGAGUAUUCUAUAGGUGGCCCAUUGCGGAUUUUGACACAAACUCGUUGUGACACCCUAUCGAGGCCUAGUAACUUGGCCGAGUCUGAGUCGACUCUGCCAUUUUCGCGAACAUUUAGAUUUCUUUUUCAUCAUGUAAGAGUAGGGAUCCAACUUGAAAAUAUGUUUUUACUUGCUUAAAAAUGACUUAAACAAAGCUUAUUGUACCUAUUGCAACCAAAAUACAUAUGGGAUAAUUAAUAGGUUUAAAAACCACCUUGUCAGUAUAAGAGGGUGUUUUCGAAGUAAUGAUAGACUUAAAAACCACCUUGUCGGUAUUAGGGGGGUGUUGCCACAAUGAAGAAAGUCCUGACAGAUUUUAGGAAAGAUAUCAAUGAAUGUUUGGACGUCAUAAAGUAGUUGGCAGCAAAGGAGGCAAUGUUGGUGGAGUUGAAGGAUGGGGUUAACGUGUUGGUGAUGAGGAAGAUGGCGAACAAGGUGAGACUGAAGUGGGUUCUUGUGAAGGUAGUAAGAGAGUGCUGAUUGGGUCUAAGAAGCCUUGUAUGAAGUGGCCCAUGGAUGUUUUUUCCUUGCAUCCAUGAGGCUGCAGUAAAUGAUAAGGGGGAGAGGAGGGAAGCAAACCACCAUUGAAACAUGUUUAAAAAGAACCACGAGUGUUAGUGUCUUCAGUAUCUAAAGUGUCUAGUUCUUCAUUGAAAACAAUAGAUAUGGCAUGACAUGACAAAAACUAUGUUAUAUUGUAUACUAUGUUUACACUUUUACAUAGCCGACCCAGAUUAGUUGGGAAAAGGCUUUAACGAUGAUGUUUACACUUUUACAUAACUCUGCGAUGUCAUGGUAGGGCUUACUUCCCCUUGUAGAGAAGUCCCGAGGUCAAGCUCCAAGUACUAAGGUCCAUGUAGCUUUUAUAUUAAAUAAUUCUUGUUAGCAUAUAAUAAUAAACAAUUUGCCUAUGAAACACACGCAUUGGAGUUCAUAGGGGCAGACCUCGCUGCCUCUCCACAAGAGGUCUAGAGUUUCAAACCUUAGAUGGCCUUACUAUUUUAACUUUUUAAUGGGAUGGUAUAGCAUCCAUAUGAUGUGGACACUCAAAAGGUGCACAAGCACCCUCCGGUGGUUCAGAUUAGAAGGAAAGAUAAUGGACGGUUAUGAUUGUUAGGGUGACAAAAUCCUUAUCCAACACAUUGUUAAAUACAUAUAUUAUCUGCAGAGAUGUAUUUAUAUGCACACACACAUGAAAGAAACAUAUUCAUAUAUGGAUAUAUAUCAUGUGUAUAAAUAUUGUACAUUUAGGUGUAUAUUUAUGGGAUUGUAUACUAUCAGACCAUUUGCCAUUGUUACAAGGUCACAAUCACUCCUAGUCAUUAGAUGUCAAAUUGGAUGGUUUGGGGUAUGUCAUGAAGUUUGAGAAUAUUUUUUUUAACUGAGUCUAAUUAAUGACAAGCUUACAGCUGCCUAAUUUAAAUUGUGGACAUAAGUGAUUGUGACCUUCUUGUACAAAAAGUAAAUAUUCUCUUUGUAUACUUUUCCUAUAUUUAUAUGUACAUUUAAAUAUAUACGAGAUGAGGGAGCCUCAAGAUUGAGGCACCCGCCUAGGUUGCCAUCCUCCGCUGGCCACCUUGGUGCCGCUCAACAGUUUCUUAUGCAUUAAUUGAGAUGGGGGCUUUAGUAAAGUUUUGAAGGUCAGAAAUACAUUACCAACAACUUGACAAAAAAAAAAAACCAAAAAAAAAAGGUGAAGAAAAAGAAGAAAAAAAGAAAGUUCUGAAGGUCAUAAUCAACCCGUAUAGUAAUUAGAUUAUUUUUUGCAAUAUGAUUUUACUUUCUAGUGUACCAUCGAUGUUGUAUUUGAUUAUAUGUCCUCUCUUUUGACUCCACAUUGUUUCUAUCUAUGUUUCUUGGAUCAUGUUUCUUGGUUUGAUUUAUUGUAUUGAGACUUGUGAUCCUUAAUGCUUGAACACCUGCAAUGCCCCAGUUUGUCUCACUUUCAAAAGGGAUCCUUGUUGAGAGGAUUGGAUGUUUCAUUCUCGCCGAUCUUCUCCAGUCAAUCCAUUGAACUGGAAGUCAAUAUAAGGAUCCUUGUCACAUGCAACAUCAAUAUUUAGGAUGUGAUAGACAAACACAUAUUGACCGUGAUUUGAUAAUUUUAGCCCUGGUUAUGCAUCGAGACACUUGUUCCUGAACCUGGACCGUCAUUUUUGCGAUAGAAUUGAUGCGAUUGUUUUGAUGAACUGGAAGGCCCAACAAUAAGUGGGUAACUAAUGAAAUAGAGAUUUUUUCCUGGUUAAGACCUGUGUAUUAUGUGUGCUUGGUUUUGUUUAUGUAUUUGAUAUAUUUUUGUAAUUAUUUAGGUCAUUGCAUUUAUAUUUAAUUGCAUGUAUAGGGUGGUAAAACUUUGGCAAUAUUUUUGUGGCAAAAAGUUUUUGUGCUUGGGACCUCAUGUAUUCUCUUUUGUUGUUGUUGGGACCACCCUAGGCACAGAUAUCUGUAUAUGCUUGACGUACUUUUGUUCACAUGCCAUGAGACUGAUAUUUAUAAUGGAUACUUCUAGGAUACUGGUAAAUAUACAAUUGCUAAAACUAUACUAGAGAAUUCUCUGAAUAAAAUAUAAAAUCAUGUAUCAAUUGUCAAAUGCAUGUAUUUAGGCUGGGUUUGGGAAGAGCUUUUUAUUACAUAAAAAUGCAAUAGAAAUAAGAGUUCUGAGGAAGGAAGAGCCUUGUAUUGGAUUAAAAUGUGAUAUAGCUAAGGGUUGUAUAGUGCUCAAUGGGUAGGUGUUGGCUAGGGUUCCCAACACCAUAACACAAUUGAGCUGAUAUUUAAACUGCUGUUCCAUCUCCCAUUAAUAGAUAUCGAGAGAGCUUUCUAUUAUAGAGUUCCACACUCAUCACAUUAGAUUUCUGCGCAUGGACCAUGUGCAGUCUACUGACUAAUGAAGUUUAAUGUAUUAUAUAGGCUAUAAUUAAUGCAUACAUCUAAGGCCUGUUUGGAUGACGGCUAAAUUGAUGUCGAUUUGACUCUUAUCUAAAAUUACUAUACAGCCUAUAUUCUGGAUAAUAUUAUUUUAUUAGCUCUUUGGAAUGUGCCUCGUAUUAUGUAUAUUCGAUGAUUCUAAGCUAUUUUUCGCUAAAGAAUCUCAGAAAAUUGCUUUGAAUAGAGUAAAAGCAGUUUUUCAAAAGGGCAAAUUUAUACGCAAAACUGCCUAUAUUCUGAUAACUUUAUGAUGGACACAGCCAAACAUCAGACAAUUAAUUAUAAAGAUUAAUUUUAUUAAAACAGUUAAUUAUCGGUGAUAAUGGGUACAUCAAAACGGACCCCAUGAGCUAUAGCAUGUAUUUAUUGAAAAUCUGUAUCCUAGAUUAUGGGAGCGUAUACAGGUGUUUUCACUAUCCAUGUCCUUAUCUUUAUCUGUAUCUUGGCAUCUUCUUCCUAGCCUACUUUGGCCACUUGUAUUUCUGGUAAUUUGGAGUUUUGGACCAAUAAAUUUUCUGGAAAGAUUAGAUUAUAAGAAUUCUUCUAAAAGGAAAUCCUGAAGAACUAUAAUUACACCACAAUGGUACAUUCAGCAUGUUUUUUCAAGGCGAGGCUGACUGAUUCCACGAAUUUGACACUCCUACACGACAGAAGACUGACCAUUUAAGAAAGUGAUUUUGAGCUCCUUUUGAAUUUGAAUGCGCAUAUGUGCUUAGUUGCAGGAUUCCAUUUGAUCAUCGCCAAACUAGACAGUACUCACACGAUGGUGAUGGUUAGUCUCUUUGUUCAUGUGCCUGGCAUUUCCCAUGCUAUGUCUGUUCGACCUAUUUUCAGAUGGAUAUGUUCGAAGUGAUAUUGUGGUCUCAUAACAUUCUAACAUUAACUGCAUAUUUCUGUGCUUGUGUAGAUUCUAAAUUCAAUGAGAUCUACUUGUUAAUAUUGCAUCUUUUUGGACAAAUCACGUGAGUUUUGGAACAACCCAAAAAAAAAAAAUGUAUCCAAGUCUUGUGAAGAGCUGGAAUAUAGAGCCGUGGUAGUAUCCUUUCGUGAAAUCAUUUGGUUUCAGGCUCUAUUAAAUGACAUUAGGGUUCUGAUAGUAGGAUCUAAUCUUCUUGAUGGAGUAAACGUUGUGCCAACAAACUAUCUACCAAUUAGGCUACUUGAUGGCAUCAUUGGUCUACCUUGCAUUAAGAGGCUAGUUUACUUGUUAUGUACUCUUCACACGAGUACGUCAACCAAACAAGUCAACACUUGUUUACCAUGAGAUGCAUAACCACUUUAUUAAGUUGUUGCUUGUAUCAUUUGGUAGGCAAAUUGAGAGUGGUUCAUGGGUGUUGUGAUACAUUUACUGUGUGGUUGUAUUUCUAUAAGCAUUCAGGAUAUUUAUGUUAUUAUCCUCAUUGAACGUUUUAGUCUCAUUCUGAAGUCUUGUAAAUUAAGGAACCCCCGUUAUGAUGAGUAACAAUUGAUUGUCCUCUCAGACAGAUUACUCUCUCAGACACAGUACUUGCAAUAGUCUCCCUUAACUGUAAACACCAAUGGAAUGCCAUUGAGACAAGGAUAGGAUCCAGCAAAACCACUAUUUUACAUCAGGAAUUUACAUGUGACAUUAGUUUGGGGGAUGGGAAAAAUAGCCAAACAAGAUCUUCCAAAAAUCAUUAGUCUCCUCCUUAGAGUGAACAUGAGAAGGAUCAACCUUGCAAUGUCCAUCCGCUAAAGUAAAAUUUCAAGAUGUAAUAAUGUGUAGGAGUUCGGCAACCCUCGUGAUGGUCAAUGUAGCUUGGAAAAAAAUACACGGGAGACAACGCCAUUAUUCUUACCACGACUGGAGCCCACAUGGGCAUAACACAAGCAGCCAAUGGAGCUCAAAGGACAUGACGUUUUGUUGCUAAGUGAUGUGAGAUAUCACCCGUGACAAUCUGUGACAUUCAAGAAAGAUACAAUCUGUGACACUGUAUCCUUUCCAGAAAUUCCCAAGUAUUGGAACAUAACACGUUUCCAUUAGGGGUAUUUUUUUUGUCCAUUUUUGGCAGUUGCAUUUGGUGCAAGUUUGUGACAUGGACAUUAAUAUUUUUGUUAGAUAGCAUGUUUUCGUGAAUUGGGUAGUUGGAUCAUUUUGACAAGUUUCAUUGGCUUGUGCACCCGUCUUCUUUUUCCAUUUCUUUGGUACCUGUCAAAAAGUAAAAGAGAACCGAAAACGAAUUGUAGAAACCUGCUAAUGACCAAAGCGUGCCCUGUAAUUAAAACAAGUUUAUAGAAAGGAUAAUGCUUAGAUAGGUUCCUGUACCGCUUCUACACUGUCAUGUUUUCCAGGAAUAUUACGGUUGAAUAUUCCCUAAGUACACGCAUAUUACAAACACAACUCAGGAGCUGGACUCUGUAUCUUUUUGGGAAAUCCUGGGUUCCAGCUCUUUGCUCCAACCAUUUCUUUCAUGUUAUUAUUGUUUUUGUUAUUUUCUCCUGUGAUAGGAUUGCUUUCUCCUUUUGUUUUUCUUUCGCCACCAAUAUGCAUUAGAGAUUCCUAGACGACAGUUGGAACAAUUUAAUCAUUUAACAAUGUGCCUAAAUAAUCUAUGAUGGGGUUGAAAAUAGCUGGAUCAGGACCAAUUGAUCUAUGGGUGGGCAUUCAGGAACUGAAAUAAUCAGGUUGAUUAUUCCUGAUUUCCAAUGUUUUCCAUGAUUUUUCUUUAGUCCGAGUGCUGAGCCUCCUUUUUUACUGAUUGCACUCAGUAUGCAUCCUAUUGACACUGCUGUUGGAUCCCCAAGGCUGUGAUUUGUAUGUGUUCGUUUGAGGAUUUCCUAGGACAUGGGUUUGGAGACUUAGAUGGCAAUGCAGACAAGCCCAUGCAGGCAUCAUGUGUGAGUCUUGAUAUCCUCUAACAUGUGUGCUGCACACCUCAGGCAGGUUGUCCAUGUUCAUGUCUGCAUCAUUAUCAUGAGUACAGAUGUCACUAUUCAAUGCCGGCAUUCAGAGGGGAUGCCUGUGAGCAUAAUUGGGUGGGUGUGCACAAUCCAAAUUAUUACAGGUUGGGAUGGCGACCUCCUAGACUUGUGGGCAAUCUAUUCCUUGAUAUGUGAAGAAUGCAAAUGUUUAUGGUAUUUGACUCAUGCUUUCUUUUCUCUUUCUCUCUCUCUCUCUCUCUCUCUUAUGACUUGUUUAACACAUGGUGAAAUUGAAAGAAUAUGCCUAUGGAUCAUUACAUUUGUGGUGAGAUACACUUUUAUGGAAAGUCAUGUGCAUUGUCUCAGAAA